rnacentral:lncRNA from 1 species
CGGGCGCCUGCGCAUGAGCUUCCCAGGCGCGCGGGCUGCGGGGUUAUUAGAGGUGGAGCGCAAGGAGGGCGCGCGGCAGGAGGCGGCCGCCGUUACGGCGCGAGCGUGGUCACGUGGCCGCUGGUCAUUGCCGCCACCCCCUCCCGCCCCGUUCUCUUUCAGGUCGGGCCGGGCCCGGCCGCUUCCGCGAGCGCCUGGCAGACUGAGGGAGAGAGAGAGAGAAAGAGGAGGGGAGGAGGAGGAGGAUUCAGGGAAUAGGAGCUGGGGAGCCCUUCUGCGCCACAGGGAGAUGCUGUUUUUCCAGCAGUUAAAAGAGAACUUAGCUUGUCUCUGUUUCUUGAUUCCUCUUCAAUUUCUGUUUGCAAACCAAGACUUGUGUUUGGAGAACUUUGUUGUACUGAGCCUAAGUCAUUUUUGAUCUAUAACGAGAACAUGCAUUUUCACAUGUCAACCGGAUUUGUGGACCAGUAAAGUUCUCCCCAAAGGUAAGCAUAUAUGUUUUCAAAAUAUACAUUUUAAAAUAGAAUACUCUCAAUGCCUUUACCAUAGUA